rnacentral:rRNA from 1 species
UGGGGAAUAUUGGACAAUGGGCGAAAGCCUGAUCCAGCAAUGCCGCGUGAGUGAUGAAGGCCUUAGGGUUGUAAAGCUCUUUUACCAGGGAUGAUAAUGACAGUACCUGGAGAAUAAGCUCCGGCUAACUCCGUGCCAGCAGCCGCGGUAAUACGGAGGGAGCUAGCGUUGUUCGGAAUUACUGGGCGUAAAGCGUACGUAGGCGGUGACUCAAGUCAGAGGUGAGAGCCUGGAGCUCAACUCCAGAACUGCCUUUGAAACUAGGUCGCUAGAAUCACGGAGAGGUGAGUGGAAUUCCGAGUGUAGAGGUGAAAUUCGUAGAUAUUCGGAAGAACACCAGUGGCGAAGGCGGCUCACUGGACGUGUAUUGACGCUGAGGUACGAAAGCGUAGGGAGCAAACAGGAUUAGAUACCCCCGUAGUCCCUGAGCGGGCUGGCAAGGCGCAU